CCUCAGCCUUUCGGUUUUGUCUCUGUCUCUCUUCCUCUCUGCCUCUCUCUUCUUUUUUUUUUCAUAUUCUUUGCCUCUUUUUUUAUGUUUGCAUCCGCGGCGCCGAACGCGGCAGAGGCAGCAGCAGCAGCAGCAGCAGCAGCAGCGCCGGCAUGUAAGGAGAAAGAAGAAGUGGAGACAAAAAGGAAGGACGGAGAAGGCAGGGGGAAUAGAGAGAGAGAGAGAGAGAAGCGAUGAGGGGAAAGAGAAGGGAGACAAGGAGGGGGGGGGGGGGGGGGGGGGAGAGCUUACCGCUGCUUCUGCUGCUGCUGCUGCCGCCACUGUGAGAGCAUCCCGUUCUGCUUUUCGGAGGUGUUUCUCUCCGAGGAUGGAGGAAUUGCCGAUAGGGAUGAAGGGGGCGGGUCUUUGGUUUUUUGUAGAGUAGAUAGUUGAUAGGUGAUGUUGUUGACAAGCAUGGAGCAGCUCAUCAGACAGCCGGGCAGCUGGAACCAAGGUUUUUUUUUUUUUUCUUCCUCUGUUGACUAAACUUCUGAUUCAUCCGUCACUUUUCUAUAUUUACUCACCACAAGAGAGGCACCGCUCCUCUGUCUCCUUCUUUUUGAACUGACACCGCUCUAUUUUUCAUCCUGGGAACGAGGACUCUCCCAUUAAACAGUCAUCUCUCAUGAUGCCUGCCAGUUGCAUCCUGUGUGUGUGUGUAUGGGCGAUGAUGAGUCGUGGAGUGGAUGUUUGUCUUUUGGUUUUUCAUACCUACGCCAAGAUGUGCUAAGCAUAUUGCGUGUGCCAUUCAUAAUAUGCCUUUUUAGUUUUAAUGACUUCAGUAGCAGCUGCACAAAUUAGCAUUUUUCAA